rnacentral:rRNA from 1 species
UACGAAGGGGGCUAGCGUUGUUCGGAAUUACUGGGCGUAAAGCGUGCGCAGGCGGCUUCUCAAGUCAGGGGUGAAAGCCCAGAGCUCAACUCUGGAAUUGCCUUUGAGACUGAGUGGCUUGAGUACGGGAGAGGUGAGUGGAAUUCCCAGUGUAGAGGUGAAAUUCGUAGAUAUUGGGAAGAACACCGGUGGCGAAGGCGGCUCACUGGCCCGUAACUGACGCUCAUGCACGACAGCGUGGGAAUCAAACAGG